GCUCCUUGCUGCCCUCGCGUGUCUGAAAGGCGGCACUGCACGCGGGAGGGGGGGCGCGCUCACGGCUGCCCUCGCGUGUCGACAAGGCAGCACUGCAGCCGCCGGCGGCCACCGCUGCGUACGAAGACCGUUGCGGGCAGCCGGCGCACACGUGCGCGCUGCCGGUCGCCGCGUUGGCCGCUAUUCUGCGCUCUCUCGGGGACGGGGUAGCCCACCGAAGGGGGACAUCUCGAAGAGAAGCAGCAAGAGCUGGGGGUCCGGUGGUUCAUUUUGGUCGUCGCCUGUGAGGCCAGCAUGCAAGAGUAAGAGGAAGCUAGGAGCAGUCUCAAAAAGAGGUGGAACCAAGGACAGCAAAUGCUGACGAGGAGAAGAGACGGACGAGCGUUUGCUUGCGGUUAAUACCGAAGGGAGGGGAUGAAACAAGGAAGCCAGAAUGCAGCGGCCCCUCGAUAUCACCAGGAACUGCUACAGGAGGAGGCGUUCUGGCACGGGUAACUAGGGUAAGUAUGGCUAAUGACCGUUAGCAGUUAUUUUGGCCUCCCCGAGGCAGCGCUGAGGACUAAGUAACCUGAGGGGCUCUGGCCUGGGUUGGGGCAGAAGUGCAGGCAGGCGGGAUCAGGCAUUUUCCUCUCAGCUCUCCGAGCUGAAUCCUAGCCCUGAAGGAAAAAGCACUGGGGGGAGGCUACUCGGACACCUGCCAUGUCGAGGGCAGGGGCAGGAGCUGACCCUUCCCCGACGGACGGACGUACGGACAGACGCUGGUGCGGCGGUGACUCUUUGGAUAUCGUAGGUAAGGGGAGGCACGCUGGUGCCGAGCUCCAGGGCGGUUUGCCUGAACACGAUGCCUGAGGCAGGAGGUUACGCAUUGUGUCCGGGGCUGGGAGCUGGUCCCCGAGUCCCAUGUACUUGGGAGUGCCUGCGCUUGCCAGGGUGCCCGGUGCUGUUCCCAGAGCUGCGGGGAAUUUCCCUUGCGUUGCCUGGACCCUCGGGGCUCUUGGGGGUGUUUCCCCUCAUCGCGAGGGCUGCCAGAGCCCCUCCAGGGCUGCGUGAGGUCCCCGAACCGCUCCCGGAUUUGCUUUUGGCACUCCGCAGUGUCGCUCGUGUGCCUGGGGCAGCCUGCAGGCGCCAUCCUGUCAGCCGCGUUGAGCCCUGCGGCGUGCCUGGUGACCCCUCUGGUGUGCGCCAAGGCCCUUCCUCUGUAUUUUGGUCUGCCCCAGAGCCCUGCACUUGCCCUCUGAUGCCCUCAGGACCCCUCAGUUCACAUUCUGGGUUGCCCCCGAGCCCUCUGCGUGCCUUUCGGUGCGCCCCGUGGCCCCGUGUGUGUUUUGCGGCACGCCGCAGAGGUCUCUGUUUAGCUUUUUCUCCUGUCCUGGAGUUUUCUGGGUGCUUCUGGGUGUGCCCCAGGGCCCUCCUUUUGGUGCCCCCCGAGUCACUCUGUUUGCUCUAUCGUUCUUUUUUUUUUUUUUUCUUGACUUGUGUUGCACCCAGAGCUCUCGAUUUGUUCUCUUGUGCUCCGCAUACUCCCCUUUCCGCACUCGACACCCCAGGCAGGGCUCUCCCUUCAGCUCUCAGCAAGCUGCUGUCAGGAGAGUGGGGGUGCCUCUGCUGCCCUGGCAGCCCCAGCUGUCCCUGAAGGGGCUGAUGGCCAGGCCCCCUGCCCAGUUCCUGCAGGCCCACAGCUGCGGGCCCUGGGGCUGGGAUGAAUGCCAGGGGGAGCUGGGUGGCAGGACAGGCCCCAGGUGGGGCUGAUGGCAAGGGCAGGCCCACAUUUGGGGGCUGGGGCCGCAGCUGGGGGGAGCUGGCGCUGGGGCAGGAGCUGGGCAGCGGAGCUGCCACGGAGCACGGCCCUUCGGGCCCAGCCCGGCGGCCGCCCCGCGGAGGAGGUGAGCGAGGCCGGGGGAGGCGCGCUGCAGGCUGCGGGUCCCGCAUGUGCCGGGGGUCCCGGCGGCUGGGAGCGUCCCGGGGCCACGGAGGCGGGGGGAGGAAGGGGGUGCGCCGGGGCUGUGGUGCGG